AUGGGCCAGAGGGGCCUGCGGGCGGGCCGUGAGGUCCAGGGGGGUGGGGGCGCAAUAGCUGCUUUCUCCACCAGCGGGGCCAGACUGUGGGCAGGGCAUUGCGUGUUGGUCGCUUUGACACUGGGCCAUAGGCUAGAAGCGGAGUUCCAGAUUCUCCAAAGGAAGCGCAGCCCACAGACGUCUGGAGACGUGUCCCAGUCAUUUGGUCUGGAGCCAGACAUGCAGUCGUCCCGUCUCCUCUUCCUCAUGGCGCUUCAGUGGAAGUGCCUUGAGACCACGUCUAUCAUCCAGACCCCCCUGAGCCUGGUUCUUCAUCCUGGCUCCCCUGUUAAAAUUACCUGCAAUACAACCAUACACAGCAACCCAAAUCUGUACUGGUACCGCUGGACUCCUGAAGGCGGGUUUAGGGUUGUGUUCAGCUCCUUGGUAGAAGGGAAUAUGGACCCAGCCAGUGUAGAUGGGUUCAGAGCUAGUAGACCAAAUGCUUUAGAGAUUAUCCUGGAGUCAGAUGGAGUGGCUCUGGAGGAGCGGUCCGCUGUCUGGGUUGUCUGGUACUGUGCUGCCAGCAUCCACAAGACCUGA